UCUCUUCUAAAACUUGUCUGUCAUCACAGCACAGAAAGGAAAUUGAACAGGCCACUUUUAUGUCAGUACUUGAUUAUGGGGAUGUUUUAUACAGUUGAAGUCAGAAGUUUACAUACACUUAGGUUGGAGUCAUUAAAACUCCUUUUUCAACCACUCCACAAAUUUCUUCUUAACAAACUAUAGUUUCGGUUAGGACAUCUACUUUGUGCAUGACACAAGUAAUUUGUCCAACAAUUGUUUACUGAUUAUUUCACUUAUAAGUCACUGUAUCACAAUUCCAGUGGGUCAGUUUACAACAUACACUAAGUUGACUGUGCCUUUAAACAGCUUGGAAAAUUCCAGAAAAUGAUGUCAUGGCUUUAGAAGCUUCUGAUAGGCUAAUUGACAACAUUUGAGUCAAUUGGAGGUGUACCUGUGAAUGUAUUUCAAGGACUACCUUCAAACCCAGUGCCUCUUUGUUUGACAUCAUGGGAAAAUCAAAAGAAAUCAGGCAAGACCUCAGAAAAACAAUUGUAGACCUCCACAAGUCUGGUUCAUCCUUGGGAGCAAUUUCCAAACACCUGAAGGUACCACAUUCAUCUGUACAAACGAUAAUACGCAAGUUUAAACACCAUGGAACCACGCAGCCGUCAUACCGCUCAGGAAGGAGACGCGUUCUGUCUCCUAGAUAUGAAUGUACUUUGGUGUGAAAGGUAGCAGAUCAAUCCCAGAACAACAGCAAAUGACCUUGUGAAGAUGCUGGAGGAAACAGGUACAAAAGUAUCUAUAUCCACAGUAAAACGAGUCCUAUAUCGACAUAAACUGAAAGGCUGCUCAGCAAGGAAGAAGCCAUUGCUCCAAAACCGCCAUAAAAAAGACGGACAAUGGUUUGCAACUGCACAUGGGGACAAAUAUCAUACUUUUUGGAGAAAUAUCCUCUGGUCUGAUGAAACAAAAAUAGAACUGUUUGGCCGUAAUAACCAUUGGAGAAAAAAGGGUCGAAGAACACCAUCCCAACCGUGAAGCACAGGGGUGGCAGCAUCUUGUUGUGGAGGUGCUUUUCUGCAGGAGGGACUGGUUCAGGUCACAAAAUAGAUGGAUUCAUGAGGAAUGAAAAUGAUGUGGAUAUAUUGAAGUAACAUCUCAAAAACAUCAGUCAGGAAGUUAAAGCUUGGUCGCAAAUGGGUCUUCCAAAUGGACAAUGACCCCAAGCAUACUUCCAAAGGUGUGGCAAAAUGGCUUAAGGACAACAAAGUCAAGGUAUUGGAGUGGCCAUCACAAAGCCCUGACCUCCACCAUAUAGAAAAUGUGUGGGCAGAACUGAAAAAGUGUGUGCGAGCAAGGAGGCCUACAAACCUGACUCAGUUACACCAACUCAGUGAGGAGGAAUGGGACAACAUUCACCCAACUUAUUGUGGGAAGCUUGUGGAAGACAUUUGACCCAAGUUAAACAAUUUAAAGGCAAUGCUACCAAAUACUAAUUGAGUGUAUGUAAACUUCUGACCUACUGGGAUUGUGAUGAAAGAAAUAAAAGCUGAAAUAAAUCAUUCUCUCUACUAUUAUUCUGACAUUUCACAUUCUUAAAAUAAAGUGGUGAUCCUAACUGACCUACGACAGGAAACCUUUACUAGGAUUAAAUGUAAUGAAUUGUGAAAAACUGAGUAUAAAUGUAUUUGGCUAAGGUGUACGUAAACUUCUGACUUCAACUGUAGAUACAUGGAUCAGCAUCAAUAGUGAAGAAAUUAGAUGCAGUGUAUCAUGCAGCAUUAUGCUUUGUUACUGGUGCAAACUUUUGCACAAAUCAUUGGCUUUUGUACACUUUGGUUUGCUGGGACUCCCUGACUUUUAGAAGGACCAGACACGGGUUGUUUAUAAAGCUGUCUCACAGAAACUUCCUAACUAUCUUCUCUCAACAAUCCAGUGGCCAAACAGUAUUUAUCAGACUCGGUCACAGGACAUGCUAGUGCAAGAGAUGCCCCGGAUUCACUCAGAGUUAGGUUAAACAGCUGUCACGCUGGUAUAAAGGAUUUGGAGACAGGUGCAGGAACACACAAUAAGGUUGUAUAAUACACCCAAAACAAACAUGUACUCACACCACCAACGCAUAGGUACUCACACCACCAACACAUAGGUACUCACACCACCAACGCAUAGGUACUCACACCACCAACGCAUAGGUACUCACACCACCAACGCAUAGGUACUCACACCACCAACACAUAGGUACUCACACCACCAACGCAUAGGUACUCACACCACCAACGCAUAGGUACUCACACCACCAACGCAUAGGUACUCACACCACCAACGCAUAGGUACUCACACCACCAACACAUAGGUACUCACACCACCAACGCAUAGGUACUCACACCACCAACGCAUAGGUACUCACACCACCAACGCAUAGGUACUCACACCACCAACACAUAGGUACUCACACCACCAACACAUAGGUACUCACACCACCAACACAUAGGUACUCACACCACCAACACAUAGGUACUCACACCACCAACGCAUAGGUACUCACACCACCAACACAUAGGUACUCACACCACCAACACAUAGGUACUCACACCACCAACACAUAGGUACUCACACCACCAACGCAUAGGUACUCACACCACCAACGCAUAGGUACUCACACCACCAACACAUAGGUACUCACACCACCAACACAUAGGUACUCACACCACCAACACAUAGGUACUCACACCACCAACACAUAGGUACUCACACCACCAACACAUAGGUACUCACACCACCAACGCAUAGGUACUCACACCACCAACGCAUAGGUACUCACACCACCAACACAUAGGUACUCACACCACCAACACAUAGGUACUCACACCACCAACACAUAGGUACUCACACCACCAACACAUAGGUACUCACACCACCAACGCAUAGGUACUCACACCACCAACACAUAGGUACUCACACCACCAACGCAUAGGUACUCACACCACCAACACAUAGGUACUCACACCACCAACACAUAGGUACUCACACCACCAACGCAUAGGUACUCACACCACCAACACAUAGGUACUCACACCACCAACGCAUAGGUACUCACACCACCAACACAUAGGUACUCACACCACCAACACAUAGGUACUCACACCACCAACACAUAGGUACUCACACCACCAACGCAUAGGUACUCACACCACCAACGCAUAGGUACUCACACCACCAACGCAUAGGUACUCACACCACCAACACAUAGGUACUCACACCACCAACGCAUAGGUACUCACACCACCAACGCAUAGGUACUCACACCACCAACACAUAGGUACUCACACCACCAACACAUAGGUACUCACACCACCAACACAUAGGUACUCACACCACCAACGCAUAGGUACUCACACCACCAACACAUAGGUACUCACACCACCAACGCAUAGGUACUCACACCACCAACGCAUAGGUACUCACACCACCAACGCAUAGGUACUCACACCACCAACACAUAGGUACUCACACCACCAACACAUAGGUACUCACACCACCAACACACAGGUACUCACACCACCAACACACAGGUACUCACACCACCAACGCAUAGGUACUCACACCACCAACACAUAGGUACUCACACCACCAACCCAUAGGUACUCACACCACCAACGGACAUGGGAACAAUAACCGACAAAGACAGAGGGAACAGAGGGCGCAUAUAUAGCAUACUGAUCAGGGGAAAAGGGAACCAGGUGUGUGUAAUCAGACAAGACAGUUAUUAUAAACUGUGAUUAUUUUUUGUAAUGUGUGUUUUUCUUAUAGCAGUUUAUUUAUUUUAAUCGUUUUAAUAUCCAUCUUGUACUUUUUAUAUGUUUUGAUUUUGUUUGGUUUUUAAAUUCUUAUUAAUUGCUGUGUUGUUUUUAUUGUUGUAUCACAGGGCCCAAAUGUAAAAGAUACUCUGUCUCAGCUUUGUUCCCCUGUUUAAAUAAAGGUUAAUAAACAUAAAAUCAUAAAGUCCACUUGGAACUUCUCCGAUUUGAACAGUACCCAACUUAUGUUCCACCCAGCCUGAACCUACAUAUGGAUCAGCCAAAAGGCAUGGAUCCACUUUCUCCAAAAAUGUCACUCCCACUGGGCCUGAAUCAUCCUUUGCAUGACCAUCGGAAGCUCGGAUUCAGAGUUCUUCACCACACCUGCCACCACAGGUCAUUCAUCCUCACAUUCGUCAGGAUACAUUUCCUAACCAUCAGAGACAGCAGGAUACGGUUUAUACUUGGCUCUUCUCCUUCUUCCUAACUGUCUAUAAGACCGUCUAUCCGUUCACCACACUCAUGCUGUGCCUUCAUCCACUGUAUUGCAUGCAGAGCUUGCACUGAUGGUGUUUCUCUAAAACUGAACUUCUGUUCCUUAGCCAAUUAACGAGACUGGCCUCUCCAUGCUUCUCUUCAAUCUCUGGCCUCUCUAUGCUUCUCUUCUAUCUCUGGCCUCUCCAUGCUUCUCUUCUAUCUCUGGCCUCUCCAUGCUUCUCUUCAAUCUCUGGCCUCUCCAUGCUUCUCUUCUAUCUCUGGCCUCUCCAUGCUUCUCUUCUAUCUCUGGCCUCUCCAUGCUUCUCUUCAAUCUCUGGCCUCUCCAUGCUUCUCUUCUAUCUCUGGCCUCUCCAUGCUUCUCUUCUAUCUCUGGCCUCUCCAUGCUUCUCUUCUAUCUCUGG